GCAUAUCAAUAAGCGGAGGAAAAGAAACCAACCGGGAUUGCCUCAGUAACGGCGAGUGAAGCGGCAAGAGCUCAAAUUUGAAAUCUGGCCCCUCCGGGGUCCGAGUUGUAAUUUGCAGAGGAUGCUUCGGGCGCAGCCCCCGUCUAAGUGCCCUGGAACGGGCCGUCAUAGAGGGUGAGAAUCCCGUCUGGGACGGGGUGUCUGUGUCCGUGUGAAGCUCCUUCGACGAGUCGAGUUGUUUGGGAAUGCAGCUCUAAAUGGGUGGUAAAUUUCAUCUAAAGCUAAAUACUGGCCGGAGACCGAUAGCGCACAAGUAGAGUGAUCGAAAGAUGAAAAGCACUUUGAAAAGAGAGUUAAACAGCACGUGAAAUUGUUGAAAGGGAAGCGCUUGCGACCAGACUCGCCCGCGGGGUUCAGCCGGCCUUUGGGCCGGUGUACUUCCCCGCGGACGGGCCAGCGUCGGUUUGGGCGGCCGGUCAAAGGCCCCGGGAAUGUAUCGCCCUCCGGGGCGUCUUAUAGCCCGGGGUGCAAUGCGGCCUGCCCGGACCGAGGAACGCGCUUCGGCACGGACGCUGGCAUAAUGGUCGUAAGCGACCCGUCUUGAAACACGGACCAAGGAGUCUAACAUCUACGCGAGUGUUCGGGUGUCAAACCCGUGCGCGGAGUGAAAGCGAACGGAGGUGGGAGCCCCUCGGGGCGCACCAUCGACCGAUCCUGAUGUCUUCGGAUGGAUUUGAGUAAGAGCGUAAAUGUGGGGACCCGAAAGAUGGUGAACUAUGCCUGAAUAGGGCGAAGCCAGAGGAAACUCUGGUGGAGGCUCGCAGCGGUUCUGACGUGCAAAUCGAUCGUCGAAUUUGGGUAUAGGGCGAAAGACUAAUCGA
rnacentral:rRNA from 1 species